UGGGGAAUAUUGGGCAAUGGGCGCAAGCCUGACCCAGCGACGCCGCGUGAGGGAAGACAGCCUUCGGGUUGUAAACCUCUGUUGCAGGGGAAGAAGGAAGUGACGGUACCCUGCGAGGAAGCUCCGGCUAACUACGUGCCAGCAGCCGCGGUAAUACGUAGGGAGCGAGCGUUGUCCGGAAUUACUGGGCGUAAAGGGCGCGUAGGCGGCGCUUCAAGUCGUCUGUCAAAAGCCGAGGCUCAACCUCGGUGCGCAGACGAAACUGGAGAGCUUGAGAAGCAGAGAGGCAAACAGAAUUCCUGGUGUAGCGGUGAAAUGCGUAGAUAUCAGGAAGAAUACCAGUGGCGAAGGCGGUUUGCUGGCUGCAUACUGUCGCUGAAGCGCGAAAGCCAGGGGAGCAAACGGGAUUAGAUACCCCGGUAGUCCUGGCAGUAAACGAUGUAUGCUGGGUGUGGGACUAGCGAUAGUUCCGUGCCGAAGUUAACGCGAUAAGCAUACCGCCUGGGGAGUACGGUCGCAAGAUUG
rnacentral:rRNA from 1 species